rnacentral:tRNA from 1 species
UCCCUGACCUUCCAGUGGUUAGGACUCAGCACUUUCACUGCUGUGGCCCAGGUUCAAUCCUUGGUCAGGGAA